rnacentral:rRNA from 1 species
CCAAUAGCGUAUAUUAAAGUUGUUGCAGUUAAAAAGCUCGUAGUUGAACUUCAGGCCUGGCUGGACGGUCCGCCCUCUGGGUGAGUACUGUCUGUGGUCGGGUCCUACCUUCUGGCGAAGCGUCAUGGCCUUCAUCGGCUGUGGCGGGGAACCAGGACUUUUACUGUGAAAAAAUUAGAGUGUUCAAAGCAGGCAGUCGCUUGAAUAAAUUAGCAUGGAAUAAUGGAAUAGGACAAUGGUUCUAUUUGUUGGUUUCUAGGACCGUUGUAAUGAUUAAUAGGGAUAGUUGGGGGCAUUAGUAUUCAAUUGUCAGAGGUGAAAUUCUUGGAUUUAUUGAAGACUAACUACUGCGAAAGCAUUUGCCAAGGAUGUUUUCAUUAAUCAAGAACGAAAGUUAGGGGAUCGAAGACGAUCAGAUACCGUCGUAGUCUUAACCAUAAACUAUGCCGACUAGGAAUCGGGCGAUGUUGACAAAAUGACGCGCUCGGCACCUCAUG